rnacentral:rRNA from 1 species
UACGUAGGGGGCUAGCGUUGUCCGGAUUUAUUGGGCGUAAAGAGCUCGUAGGCGGCUUAGAAAGUCAGGUGUGAAAACUCUGGGCUCAACCCAGAGACGCCACUUGAUACUUCUAUGGCUUGAGUUCGGUAGGGGACCAUGGAAUUCCUGGUGUAGCGGUGAAAUGCGCAGAUAUCAGGAGGAACACCGUUGGCGAAGGCAGUGGUCUGGGCCGAUACUGACGCUGAGGAGCGAAAGCGUGGGGAGCGAACAGG